UACGGGGGGGGCAAGCGUUGUUCGGAAUUACUGGGCGUAAAGGGCGCGUAGGCGGUUUGCUAAGUUGGAUGUGAAAACUCUGGGCUUAACCCAGAGCCUGCAUCCAAAACUGGCAAACUUGAGUACUGGAGGGGAAAGCGGAAUUCCUGGUGUAGCGGUGAAAUGCGUAGAUAUCAGGAGGAACACCAAUGGCGAAGGCAGCUUGCUGGGACGGUACUGACGCUGAGGCGCGAAAGCGUGGGGAGCAAACAGG
rnacentral:rRNA from 1 species